rnacentral:rRNA from 1 species
GGGAUCGAAGACGAUCAGAUACCGUCGUAGUCCUAACUAUAAACGAUGUCAACCAAGGAUUGGAUGAAAUUCAGAUGUACAAAGAUGAAGAAGCAUUGUUUCUUAAUCUGAGUAUAUCAAUAUUACCUUGUUCAGAACUUAAAGAGAAAUCUUGAGUUUAUGGACUUCAGGGGGAGUAUGGUCACAAGGCUGAAACUUAAAGGAAUUGACGGAAGGGCACACCAGGAGUGGAGCCUGCGGCUUAAUUUGACUCAACACGGGAAAACUUACCAAGACCGAACAGUAGAAGGAAUGACAGAUUAAGAGUUCUUUCAUGAUUUAUUGGGUAGUGGUGCAUGGCCGUUCUUAGUUGGUGGAGUGAUUUGUCAGGUUAAUUCCGGUAACGAACGAGACUGAAACCUAUUAAUUAGUUUUCUGCCUAUAAGACAGAAAUGUUCGCAAGAACAGGUGCGUAAGUACCACUUCUUAAAGGGACACAUUUCAAUUGUCCUAUUUUAAUUGUAGUUAUCUAAUUUCGGUUAGAGCUCUUUUAACGUGGGAAAAAGAAAAAGGAAGCAUUCAGCAAU